GGCGGCGUAGCUCAGUUGGUUAGAGCACAGGACUCAUAAGCCUGGGGUCAGUGGUUCAAGUCCACUCGUCGCUACCA
rnacentral:tRNA from 1 species